GGGUUUGCGGCUGUCUUUACCAUGCAAGUCGAACGGUAACAGGGAGCUUGCUCCGCUGACGAGUGGCGAACGGGUGAGUAAUACAUCGGAACGUGCCCAGUAAUGGGGGAUAGCUCGGCGAAAGCCGGAUUAAUACCGCAUACGCCCUGAGGGGGAAAGUGGGGGACCGCAAGGCCUCACGUUAUUGGAGCGGCCGAUGGCUGAUUAGCUAGUUGGUAGGGUAAAGGCCUACCAAGGCGACGAUCAGUAGCUGGUCUGAGAGGACGAUCAGCCACACUGGGACUGAGACACGGCCCAGACUCCUACGGGAGGCAGCAGUGGGGAAUUUUGGACAAUGGGGGAAACCCUGAUCCAGCAAUGCCGCGUGUGCGAAGAAGGCCUUCGGGUUGUAAAGCACUUUUGUCAGGGAAGAAAUCCUUUGGGCUAAUACCCUAGGGGGAUGACGGUACCUGAAGAAUAAGCACCGGCUAACUACGUGCCAGCAGCCGCGGUAAUACGUAGGGUGCAAGCGUUAAUCGGAAUUACUGGGCGUAAAGCGUGCGCAGGCGGUUGUGUAAGACAGGUGUGAAAUCCCCGGGCUUAACCUGGGAAUUGCAUUUGUGACUGCACG
rnacentral:rRNA from 1 species